GCGGAUAAACCAACCAGAAAACCCGAGUCAGAGUUCCUGAGCCGACUCAGUCGAGUGAGCGAAUGAGAGAUGCUUCUAGUGCAGAAGCGGCAUCAGCAGCAAGAUAACGAUGCAAGGACUUCAUCACCAACAGCAGCAACUCGCGGCGCUUCUCUCCGUCGCCAUCCCCAAGGACGAUUCCGCCUCCGCAUCUGCCCCAUUCUCUAACUCCGACGACGACGACUCCGCUCGACUCGCCGCCAUCAAUUCGCUCCACCGCGCCGUUCUCUACCAGCCCAACUCCGUCCUCGUUACUCACUCCGCCAAUUUCCUCGCACAGGGCUUCUCUCAGCUCCUCUCCGAUAAAUCGUAUGCAGUGAGGCAAGGGGCGGCUGUAGCAUACGGGGCUCUUUGUGCUGUGUUUUGUUCGAUCCCUAUAACGUCAAAUGGAAGACAAAACCAUGUUAUGCUCGGAAGCUUGGUUGACCAGUUCAUUGGUUGGGCCUUGCCGUUGCUUAGUAAUGGCGGCGCUGGAGAUGGGACCAUGGAACUAUCAUUGGAUAGCCUACGGGAGUUUCUCAAUGUUGGGGAUGUUGGUGGGAUCGAGAGAUAUGUUUUAUCAAUUCUCAAAGCAUGCCAAGUACUUCUGGAGGAUGAGAGAACCUCCUUGAGUUUGUUACACCGGCUUCUUGGCGUUUUGACUUUGAUUUCCUUAAAGUUUUCUAGAUGCUUCCAGCCUCAUUUUCUUGACAUUGUUGAUCUACUUCUUGGCUGGGCAUUGGUACCAGACCUUGCUGAAUCGGAUAGACGAAUUAUAAUGGAUAGUUUUGUGCAGUUUCAGAGUCAUUGGGUGGGUAAUUUGCAGUUUUCUCUUGGACUGCUGUCAAAGUUUCUAGGUGACAUGGAUGUUUUGCUUCAGGAUGUAAGUCAUGGAACCCCACAACAAUUCCGAAGGUUGCUUGCAUUGCUUUCUUGCUUUUCAACAAUUUUGCAGUCCACUGCUUCUGGGUUGCUGGAAAUGAAUUUACUUGAACAAAUCACUGAACCUCUUAACAGAAUUGUUCCUAGGUUAUUGGGAUGUUUAUCUAUGGUCGGAAGGAAGUUUGGGUGGUUGGAAUGGAUUGGGAAUUUAUGGAAGUGUUUGACUCUUUUGGCAGAAAUACUUUGUGAAAGGUUUUCCACCUUUUAUGCUUAUGCAGUUGAUAUUUUAUUUCAAAGUUUGGAAUUGGACAAUACUAGCCAACCAAUGGGAACUGGAAGAAUUACAUCUGUUCAAGUUCAUGGAGUUUUGAAAACUAAUCUCCAGUUAUUAUCUUUGCAAAAGUUUGGCCUUUUGCGGUUAUCUGUGCAGAAAAUACUGCAAUUUGAUGCUCCAAUAUCACAGCUGCGUUUGCAUCCUAAUCACCUUGUAACUGGCAGUUCUGCUGCCACUUAUAUUUUCUUGCUUCAACACGCGAAUAAUGAAGUUGUUGAACAGGCAGUUACAUCGUUAAUAGAGGAGCUAGAGUUGUUGAAGGGCAUGCUAGAGAAAGCCAUGGGCGAUGGAGAUGGGUUUGUUGCAUGUUCUAAAUUCUUUUCAAAACUUGAAUUGUUUUCAUUGAUUAAGUUUGAUUUGAAAGUUUUGUUGACAUCUGUUUUCUUGGGCGGGGAUAAUAGUUUGAAUAGUCAACCAGACAUUGCAAGCCUAUAUCUUAUGCGGUCAGAAAAGUUAUUGAAUUUUAUUAUGGAGAAAUUUAAUCCUUUUGACUUACCAAUUCUGGCAUAUGUGGAUUUGCAAGUCAAUGUUAUUAAGACAUUGGACAGGCUAACAACAGUUAAGUUCUUAAGCAAGUGCGCUGUUACAUACCAUAGCAGUGGGAAAUCAUCUACAGUUGCUACUGCUGAUAAAUUUCUUAAUAGUAAGUACUUGACUAAUGAACAGUCAGUUGUGGUUGUUGAGAAUCUGAGGAAGUCUAGUGCGUUCUUUGUGAAAGCUCUCCAUGUUUCUUCUCCUCUUGCAGUUAAAACAGUUGCGCUUGAUUGGGUUCAAAGAAUCUGUGAGAAUGUUAUUGCUUAUAACGAGAAAUCAAACAUAGAAGCUCAUUUCUAUGAAGUGUAUGGCAAUAUUAAGAUUAUUGGGAAUAUGCUUUUCUCAAUUUUGGAUGCCGCAUCUGACAGGGAACCAAAAGUGAGGUCACAUGUUGCAUUAGUAUUGGAGUUAUUAAUGCAGGCAAGGAUUGUACAUCCUCUUUACUUUUCUUGCAUGGCUGAAGUGGUCUUAGGAAAACUUGGUGAUCCAGAUAGUGAAAUAAAAAAUGCAUUUGUUAGGCUGCUUUCUAUUGUUGUGCCUACAACACUGUAUGCAUGUGGGAUUCGUGAUUAUGGGACAUCUACUUCAUCUAGGGCUGUUGUUCUUUGGUUAGGCAACAGUUCUAACUUGCACUGGAAGCAAAUAUUUGCCUUGAAGCAGCUCCCCCAGCAACUUCACUCGCAACAACUUGUUACCAUAUUGAGUUACAUAUCCCAAAGGUGGAAGGUGCCUCUUUCUUCUUGGAUUCAACGACUUAUUCAUAGUUGUCGAAUUUCAAAAGAUUUUGUUUCAAGUCAACUUGAGGAAACUGGAAAAUCUGGUGCCACUGGUGUAUGGUUGGACUUUAAAAUGGAUGAAGAUUUUCUUGAAAAGCAUUGCUCAGUUAAUAAUCUGGCUGGUGUUUGGUGGGCUGUACAUGAAGCUGCUAGGUAUUGUAUUACCACGCGCCUUCGGACUAACCUUGGUGGGCCUACUCAGACCUUUGCAGCCUUGGAGCGAAUGCUUUUGGAUGUUGCACACCUGCUGCAGCUUGACAGUGAGCAAAAUGAUGGGAACUUAAGUAUGAUCGGGUCUUCUGGUGCUCAUUUGUUACCAAUGAGGUUACUAUUUGAUUUUGUUGAGGCGCUGAAGAAAAAUGUAUACAAUGCAUAUGAGGGGUCUGCUGUUCUGCCGUCUGCUACUCGCUCGAGUUCCUUAUUCUUUCGAGCCAACAAGAAAGUUUGUGAAGAGUGGUUUUCUCGUAUAUGUGAGCCAAUGAUGAAUGCUGGAUUAGCUCUACAAUGCCAUGAUGCCACGUUUCAGUAUUGUGCUCUGCGUUUACAGGAGCUCAGGAAUCUUGUGGCUUCUGCUUUGAAUGAAAAGUCUAGGGCACAGGUAACUGAGAACCUCCAGAAUAUCAGGGGCAGGUUUUCUGCAGACAUCUUGAGGGUUUUACGGAACAUGGCGUUGGCUUUGUGUAAGACUCACGAAUCAGAGGCUUUAAUUGGCCUUGAAAAAUGGGUUUCAAUGACACUCUCUCCCUUUCUUGUGGAGGAAAACCAGUCCCUCAGUAACAGUGGGAUGCUGGGACCCUUUACAUGGAUCACUGGGCUUGUAUAUCAGGCAGAAGGUAAAUAUGAAAAGGCUGCUGCACACUUUAUUCACUUGCUACAAAAUGAGGAGUUGUUGAGUUCCUUGGGUUCGGAUGGUGUACAGUUUGUCAUUGCACGCAUCAUUGAGUGUUAUACUUCUGUUUGUGAUUGGAAAUCUUUAGAGUCCUGGUUAUUAGAGUUGCAAACACUUCGUGCUAAGCAUGCUGGUAAGAGUUAUUGUGGUGCUCUGACGACAACUGGGAAUGAAAUCAAUGCAAUUCAUGCCUUGGCACGGUAUGAUGAGGGUGAAUUUCAGGCAGCAUGGACAUGCCUUGGUUUGACACCUAAAAGUAGCAGUGAGCUCACACUUGAUCCAAAAUUGGCCUUGCAAAGAAGUGAGCAGAUGCUUUUACAGGCAAUGCUUCUUCAGAAUGAGGGAAAGGAAGAUAAUAUCCCCCAUGAAUUACAGAAGGCCAGGUUAAUGCUGGAGGAAAUGUUGUCUAUUUUGCCGCUUGACGGGUUAGAAGAGGCAGCACCACAUGCUAUCCAGUUGCACUGCAUAUUUGCAUUUGAGGAAUUUUUCAAGAUUAAAGGCAACCAAGACAAACCCAGGCAACUUCAGUCAAUAUUAAGUUCAUAUGUCCAACUUAUGCAGCCACAAAUAGGCAGGGUCCAUCUGGACUGUAACCCUUGGUUAAAAGUUCUUCGAGUUUAUCAAACCAUUUCCCCAAUUUCUCUAGCUACCUUAAAGCUCUCUAUGAAUUUGUUGAGCUUGGCCCGCAAACAAAAAAACCUACUGUUGGCAAACCGUCUAAACAACUUUCUCAAAGAUCACAUAUUGCGUUGCUCCGGGGAAAGCAACCAUGACUUUCUCAUCUCAUAUUUGCGGUAUGAGGGUAUCCUGCUAAUGCAUGCUGAAAACAAGUUUGAAGAUUCUUUAACGAACCUGUGGUCUUUUGUGCGUCCUUGCAUGAUUUCUUCGCCAUCGCCAUCUAUAGGUUCUGAUGCUGACAAUGGUAUUCUGAAGGCUAAGGCUUGCUUGAAACUCUCAAAUUGGCUUAAACAGAACUAUUCAGAUUCAAGGGUAGAUGACAUUGUUCUUAAUAUGCGGUCAGACUUAGAUAUGACUGAUUCCUCUUCUCCUGGCAGAGGUAGUGCCUCACUUGGCAAUGAGAUUCUAAUCUCUAAAACACGUUUGGGUCCUAUUAUUGAGGAGAUUGUGGGCACAGCUACAAAACUGUCUACUCAACUAUGCCCCACCAUGGGCAAAUCCUGGAUUUCUUAUGCGUCAUGGUGUUUUGGUCAGGCCAGAGACUCUCUCUUAACGCCAGAUGAAAAUACCCUUCACUCAUGCUCAUUUUCUCCCAUCCUUGCUCAUGAAGUUCUCCCUGAGAGAUUCAAGCUAACUGAAAAUGAGAUCGUAAAAGUAGAAUCUUUGCUUUUACAGCUCUUCCAGAAUAAGGAUGACAGUUUUAGAGCUGAAGAUGGAGAGUGGAACUCUUCUCUUGAUUCUUCUGAACUGAGAAACGACAACCCUGUGAUGGCUUUGGUGCAGCAAGUAGUGAAUAUUAUUGAAGCUGUUUCUGGGGCACCUGGUGCAGAAAUUUCUAGUGAUGAUUGCCUUUCUGCUACUCUAGCUUCUCAGUUGAAGAUCUUUCUUCGUGGAAACUUUGGCCUAAAUGAAACUGCUUUAAUUUCUGUAGUUGAUGAGUUAGUUGUUGUUUGGUGGUCUUUAAGGAGGAGAAGAGUGUCACUCUUUGGGCAUGCAGCUCAUGGCUUUAUAAAGUAUCUUUCGAAUUCAUCUGCAAAAAUUUGCAAUAGUGGCUUGUCUGAAUCUGAUUCUGAGUCUCUGAGGCAAAAAACCGGCAGCUAUACUUUGAGGGCUACAUUGUAUGUCCUACAUAUUCUUCUCAAAUAUGGAGCUGAGUUGAGAGAUGUACUUGAACCUGCUCUUUCAACUGUUCCUUUGUCCCCAUGGCAGGAAGUAACACCCCAAUUGUUUGCGCGGUUAAGUUCUCAUCCCGAGCAAGUGGUUCGGAAGCAGUUGGAAGGCUUACUGAUGAUGCUGGCCAAGCAAUCUCCUUGGUCCAUUGUCUACCCAACACUAGUCGAUGUGGAUGCUUAUGAGGAGAAGCCUUCAGAGGAGCUUCUGCACAUACUUGGUUGUCUGAGUGAACUAUACCCAAGAUUGAUUCAGGAUGUUCAGCUCGUGAUAAGUGAGCUGGGAAACGUUACUGUUCUUUGGGAGGAGCUAUGGCUCAGCACCCUUCAAGAUCUUCACACAGAUGUGAUGAGGCGCAUAAACGUGUUAAAAGAGGAAGCUGCACGAAUUGCAGAAAAUGUUACUCUUAGCCAGAGUGAGAAAAACAAGAUAAACGCUGCUAAAUAUUCAGCCAUGAUGGCUCCUAUUGUUGUGUCCUUGGAACGUCGUCUGGCUUCUACAUCUCGGAAACCUGAAACUCCUCAUGAAGUAUGGUUCCACGAGGAGUAUAAAGAUCGGUUGAAAUCAGCGAUCACAGCUUUCAAGACUCCUCCAGCAUCCGCUGCAGCACUUGGAGAUGCAUGGCGUCCAUUUGAUAACAUUGCUUCAUCCUUAGCAUCUUAUCAGAGGAAGUUAUCAAUUCCUUUAAGUGAAGUUGCACCACAAUUGGCUCUACUGUCAUCGUCUGAUGUUCCAAUGCCUGGUCUUGAGAAGCAAGAUACGGUCUCUGAAUCUGACAGAGCUCUCAGUGCUAAUCUCCAAGGAAUUGUCACCAUUGCAUCUUUCUCUGAGGAAGUGGCUAUCAUAUCAACCAAGACUAAACCUAAGAAACUUGUUAUUGUUGGUUCUGAUGGUCAAAAGUACAUGUAUCUCUUGAAAGGCAGGGAAGAUCUCCGCCUUGACGCUAGAAUAAUGCAGCUCUUGCAAGCUAUAAAUGGUUUCCUGCAUACAUCUCUUGCAACUCACAGCCACUUUCUUGGUAUUCGCUAUUAUUCUGUGACUCCAAUUAGUGGCCGUGCUGGUCUCAUCCAGUGGGUAGACAAUGUAAUUAGUAUAUACAGCAUCUUUAAGUCUUGGCAAAGCCGCAUCCAACUAGCUCAGCUCUCAGCAGUGGGUGGUGGCAGUUCGAAAAGUCCUGUUCCUCCAGCUGUUCCCCGACCCAGUGAUAUGUUCUAUGGUAAAAUCAUACCAGCACUCAAAGAGAAAGGUAUAAGGAGAGUAAUUUCCCGAAGAGACUGGCCUCAUGAGGUGAAGCGUAAAGUUCUUUUGGAACUUAUGAAGGAGAUUCCUAGACAGCUUCUUCAUCAAGAACUUUGGUGUGCUAGUGAAGGAUUCAAAGCCUUCAGUUCGAAACAGAAGAGGUUUUCCGGAAGUGUUGCUGCCAUGAGCAUGGUGGGCCACAUUCUUGGCCUUGGGGAUAGACACUUGGAUAAUAUUCUAAUGGAUUUUUGUAGUGGUGAUGUAGUCCAUAUUGAUUACAAUGUCUGUUUUGAUAAAGGGCAAAGACUGAAAAUUCCAGAAAUUGUUCCCUUCCGCCUUACACAGACCAUUGAAGCAGCAUUAGGGAUGACGGGGAUAGAAGGUACCUUUAGGUCAAACUGUGAAGCAGUUAUUGGUGUUUUGAGGAAGAACAAAGACAUACUCUUGAUGUUACUGGAAGUGUUUGUUUGGGACCCGCUUGUGGAAUGGACACGGGGAGAUUUUCAUGAUGCUGCUGCAAUUGGUGGUGAAGAAAGGAAGGGCAUGGAAUUGGCUGUCAGUCUCAGUUUAUUUGCAUCUCGUGUACAGGAAAUUCGUGUUCCCUUACAGGAACAUCACGAUCUUUUAUUGGCUACUCUACCAGCUGUUGAAUCUGCUCUUGAGAGGUUUGCUGAUGUUCUAAACCAAUAUGAACUUUCAUCUGCACUCUUUUAUCGAGCUGAUCAAGAGAGGUCUAGCCUAAUUCUGCAUGAAACGUCUGCGAGAUCAAUGGUUGCUGAAGCUACUAGUAAUUCAGAGAAAAUUCGUGUAUUGUUUGAAAUUCAGGCUCGAGAAUUUGCUCAGGCAAAGGCCCUGGUUGCUGAGAAAUCUCAAGAGGCAGCAACCUGGAUGGAACAACAUGGGAGCAUCCUUGAUGCUUUACGAGGCAAUUUACUUCAAGAAAUAAAUGCUUUUGUUGAGCUGAGUGGUAUGCAAGAAACAUUGUCUCUUACAUCUGCUGUUCUGGUGGCUGGGGUUCCGCUGACUAUUGUUCCUGAGCCAACACAAGCACAAUGCUAUGAUAUAGAUCGGGAAGUCUCUCAACUAGUAUCUGAACUAGAUGAUGGUCUCUCUUCUGCGAUAAAUGCACUUCAAGUAUAUUCGUUGGCUUUGCAAAGAAUUUUACCAUUAAAUUACAUUACAACGAGUGCAAUUCAUGGCUGGGCACAGGUUCUGCAACUAUCUGCCAGUGCUCUUUCCUCUGAUACCCUAUCUCUUGCUAGAAGACAGGGUGCUGAACUUAUUGCCAAACAACAUGGGGAGAAUUUUGAUUCUAUCACACUCAGUCAUGAUGAUCUGUGUCGUAAAGUAAAGAAGUAUGCCCUAGAGAUGGAGAAGCUUGAAGAGGAGUAUGCGGAGCUAGCGAACUCUAUUGGUUCAGAGACCGAAUCAAACGCUAAGGAUCGGCUUCUGUCUGCUUUCAUGAAAUUCAUGCAAUCAGCUGGUCUUGCAAAGAAAGAAGAUGCCAUUGUUUCCAUUCAAUUUGGGCAAUCUAAGAAUGAUGGAAAUGGGGCAAAGGAUUCUAGAUUGCGUGGGGAUCUGAAUGAAAAAAGGGAGAAAGUUUUAUUUGUUCUGAACACAGCAUCCAGUUAUAUGUACAAUGAGGUCAAACAUAAGGUGCUCGACAAAAUUAAUGAUUCAAAUAAACGUAGAAAUGCGAAUAACCAGUUACAGAUGGAAUUUGAAACUAUUUUCUGUGGAAUUGAGGAGCAAGUAGAGAAGUGUAUACUUCUAGCAGGGUUUGUUAAUGAACUGCAGCAACUGGUUGGUAGAGAUUUACCUAGUGAUGACACAGAUAAAGGCCGUCCAGGAUAUUAUUCUGAUGGAAAUUGGGCUUCCAUUUUUAAAACCAUUUUACAUUCCUUUAAGAGCUUGAUUGGGCAAAUGACUGAAGCUGUUCUUCCGGAUGUAAUAAGAUCUGCAGUUUCUCUGAAUUCAGAAGUCAUGGAUGCGUUUGGACUAAUCUCACAAAUUCGCGGUUCUAUUGAUACUGUACUUGAGCAACUCAUACAAGUAGAGAUGGAGAGGGCAUCUUUAGUUGAACUAGAACAGAAUUACUUCAUUAAAGUUGGUCUCAUUACAGAGCAGCAGUUGGCUCUUGAAGAAGCUGCUAUGAAAGGUAGGGAUCAUCUCUCAUGGGAAGAGGCAGAGGAGCUUGCUUCCCAAGAAGAAGCUUGUAGGGCACAGCUGGACCAACUCCAUCAAACUUGGAACCAAAGGGACUUGCGAACUUCCUCUCUUGUAAAGAGAGAAUCUAAUAUAAAGAAUGCCCUCGCUGCUUCUGCACACCAUUUUCAGUCUCUAGUUAGUGUCAAAGAGGAAAGAGAGCUGAAUGUCUCGAAAAGCAAGGUGCUACUGGACAUGCUUGUUAAGCCCUUUUCUGAUUUGGAAUUGAUUGAUAAAGUGCUGUCUUCAUUUGGAGGUUCUUAUACUUCUUACUCAACUGAGAUUCCUAAUUUAGCAGAUUUGAUGAGUGCCGGGUACCCAAUGUCUGAAUAUGUUUGGAAGUUUGGCAGCUUAUUGAGUCAACAUUCUUUCUUUGUUUGGAAAAUUGGUGUUAUUGAUUCUUUUCUGGACUCAUGCCUAAAUGAUGUAGCUUCAUCUGUUGAUCAAACUUUAGGGUUUGACCAGCUCUUCAAUGUUGUUAAGAGAAAGCUUGAAAUACAACUUCAAGAACAUCUUGGUCGAUACCUGAAAGAUCGAGUUGUCCCUAAUUUAUUGGCUAGCAUUGAUAAAGAAAUUGAGCAUCGGAAGCAAUUGACAGAGUUUAUGAAGGAAGCUGCUCUUGAUGAAGUAAAAAGAGAUGUCGGGGCUUUAAAAAGGGUUCACCUUAUGCUUGAGGAAUUCUGCAAUGCACAUGAAACAGCCAGAGCAGCAAGUUCCGCUGCAUCUCUAAUGAAAAGGCAGGUGAAUGAGCUGAGAGAGGCUCUUUGGAAGACUGGCCUGGAGAUUGUUCAGAUCGAAUGGAUGCAUGAUGUUACUUUGACCCCUUCACACAGUAGCAGGGACAUGUUUCAGAAAUUUCUUGCUGGGGAUGAUAGUUUAUAUCCUAUUGUCUUAACACUCAGCAGACCUAACAUGCGGGAAAGUUUGCAAUCUGCUGUGUCAAAGAUAGCCAGGUCUAUGGAGUCACUGCAAGCUUGUGAACGAACUUCUCUGGCAGCUGAAGGGCAGCUUGAGAGAGCAAUGGGGUGGGCUUGUGGUGGCCCAAACUCCAGUGCAGCUGGAAAUAGUUCAAGUAAGAAUUCUGGAAUUCCUUCCGAAUUUCAUGACCAUCUGAUCAGGCGAAGGCAACUACUAUGGCAAGCUAGGGAAAAGGCAUCAGAUAUUAUUAGAAUUUGCAUGUCUAUAUUGGAGUUUGAAGCAUCAAGAGAUGGUAUUUUCCGAUCUCCCGAAGAGAUGUACCCAUUCAGGACUGGCACUGAUGGCAGAACAUGGCAGCAAGCUUACUUGAAUGCACUAAAAAGAUUGGAUAUUACUUACAAUUCUUUUGCUCGCACUGAACAAGAAUGGAAGCUUGCACAAAGCACCGUGGAAACUGCUUCCAGUGGAUUGUCUUCUGCAACCAAUGAACUUAGUAUUGCCACUCUCAAAGCAAAGUCCGCUUCAGGUGAUUUACAAAGCACUGUUCUUGCAAUGAGUGACUGUGCAUGCGAAGCAAGUGUUGCACUUGGGGCAUAUGCCCGUGUUUCAAAUCGUCAUUCUACUUUGACUUCUGAAUGUGGUUCCAUGCUUGAAGAGGUGCUUGCAAUAACUGAAGACCUACAUGAUGUUCACAGUCUGGGAAGGGAGGCUGCUGCAGUACAUCGUUCUUUUGUGGAGGAACUUUCAAAGGCAAAUGCAAUUCUUCUUCCACUGGAAACAGUUUUGUCCAAGGAUGUUGCUGCUAUGACUGAUGCUAUGGCUAGGGAAAGAGAGACCAAGAUGGAAAUAUCUCCCAUUCAUGGACAAGCCAUAUACCAGUCGUAUUCUUUAAGAAUUAGGGAGGCUCGUCAGGCCUUAGAGCCCUUGGUGCCCUCCCUCACAUCAUCCGUCAAGGGGCUCUAUUCUAUGUUGACCAGGCUUGCCCGAACUGCAAGUCUUCAUGCUGGAAAUCUUCAUAAAGCUCUUGAAGGACUAGGAGAAAGCCAGGAAGUGGAAUCACCACUAAUUGAUGUAUCGAGGCCUGAUCUUACUUCUGAUGCUACUGGAUUUGAUGAAAAGGAAGAGAGAGAGAACCUCUCUAUGUCAAACAGUGAAAGCAACAAUGAUUUUCUCAGCAUUACUGGACUUCCUUUGGAAUCUAAAGGAUGGUUAUCUCCGCCAGAUAGUAUCUGCAGUAGUAGUACCGAGUCUGGCAUUACCUUAGCUGAGGAGAGUUUACCAGGCAGCUUCAAUGAUCCAGAAGAUAUAGUACAGCAGCUUUUGCAUGGUCCUAGUAGCAGAGAGGGUACAGAUUAUCAAAACACUGCUCCCGACUCUAUAAAUGAUAGCCCAGAAAUCUCAGGUUCUGUACAGUUGGAAUCAAAGUACGCAGAGGUUGAUAACACUCAUAUUGGCUUUUUUAAGUCGAUACCUAGUGUCCCAAAGUCAACACCAGGUGAUGAAUCUGCAGCAGUCUGUCCUGAUAUUUCGCGUCCUUUGAAUGAGAACACACAGGAGAUGUUUGGGAGUAAAGAUGAAAUAUCCUCACUAAACAAGGCCAAAAUUAAAGAUGAAAGUCGUUCUACCCGAGUCGGCAGGGGUAAAAACCCUUAUGCAAUGUCGGUCUUAAGACGAGUUGAGAUGAAACUAGUUGGUCGAGACAUUGCUGACAAUAGAGAGAUUAGUAUCGGGGAGCAAGUUGACUAUCUACUUAAGCAAGCCACGAGUGUUGACAGUCUUUGCAACAUGUAUGAAGGUUGGACACCAUGGAUUUGAACUUGUGAAGAUGGUCUGUUUAAACUACAUCAAGUCUUAUGUUUACAGAGCAAAUGACAGGGUCAGGAAUGUUUGGUGAACUCAUUCACUUUUGCCAUGAAUAAUCAGGCACACUUCAGGAUGGAACUUUUUACCUCCUGGGCAAGCUUCAGCAAUCCGACUGUCUUUUGGCUUCAAAUUUUGAGGUUCCUGAUCAUUAAAUUCACCACGAGGAUUGUUUUUGUGAGCAAUUGGCCACAAGUGUCUAAUGGCCUCAUUAAUUGGCAAUAUUGAAACACCUGCUCAGGCCUCUGCACACCCUAUGACAGUCAGCAGUUUAUUGGGCGGAGGACAUGUGGAGCCUUGUUAAAAUUACUGCUGCGUGCGAACCACUCUUCUGUUGUGAAGCUGAAUUUGGUUUCCAAAAAGUACAAGGGCAUGCUUAGCCGCCUCUACUGCUUUAAUGCCAUCAUGAAGAUUGGAGUCUGGGACGGACAACCUCACACGGUAUUAUGCAACUAGAAUACUGCGGGAGGUUUGAGAAAGGUCAUUCCACAUCCACAGUUCACCAUUGACGGUGCAAGGAUAAUUCAAUUUAAAGUAGUAUCAAGAGGAUAUUGAGUUCUUGGCAGCUUGCUGUCAUGGUGCAUCAUGUUCGUGCGUGCAUCUCUGUUCAAUUCUCAGUAUCUACGCACAAAUCCAACAUUGGUUCUGUAUCACCAAUUUUCAUACCAAUGCAAUCAGUUUACUUUUCCGCAGGUUGUGUUUCAGGAGGUGCAGGAUCCUACCUCUGCUGGAAUACCAAAUGAACAAGACUGACAUGGAACGUUUAAUUCAGUUACAGUUAGAUGGGCUCCGUUGUCGGCCGGAUUUUAUUUUUUAUUUGGAGUUUUGGCCCGCAGUGAAACUGACUUUUCUUUUGCGUAUUACCUUUCAAAUUUGUGUGUAUCGUUCUAUUUGCUGGUAAGGAGAUUUGAAACUAAAUGACGCAGCAGUAUUUUCUUCCUA